rnacentral:rRNA from 1 species
UGGGGAAUAUUGGACAAUGGGCGAAAGCCUGAUCCAGCCAUGCCGCGUGUGUGAAGAAGGUCUUCGGAUUGUAAAGCACUUUAAGUUGGGAGGAAGGGCAUUAACCUAAUACGUUAGUGUUUUGACGUUACCGACAGAAUAAGCACCGGCUAACUCUGUGCCAGCAGCCGCGGUAAUACAGAGGGUGCAAGCGGUAAUCGGAAUUACUGGGCGUAAAGCGCGCGUAGGUGGUUUGUUAAGUUGGAUGUGAAAUCCCCGGGCUCAACCUGGGAACUGCAUUCAAAACUGACUGACUAGAGUAUGGUAGAGGGUGGUGGAAUUUCCUGUGUAGCGGUGAAAUGCGUAGAUAUAGGAAGGAACACCAGUGGCGAAGGCGACCACCUGGACUAAUACUGACACUGAGGUGCGAAAGCGUGGGGAGCAAACA